rnacentral:rRNA from 1 species
GACCUGCGGAGGGAUCAUUACACAAAUAUGAAGGCGGGCUGGAACCUCUCGGGGUUACAGCCUUGCUGAAUUAUUCACCCUUGUCUUUUGCGUACUUCUUGUUUCCUUGGUGGGUUCGCCCACCACUAGGACAAACAUAAACCUUUUGUAAUUGCAAUCAGCGUCAGUAACAAAUUAAUAAUUACAACUUUCAACAACGGAUCUCUUGGUUCUGGCAUCGAUGAAGAACGCAGCGAAAUGCGAUAAGUAGUGUGAAUUGCAGAAUUCAGUGAAUCAUCGAAUCUUUGAACGCACAUUGCGCCCUUUGGUAUUCCAAAGGGCAUGCCUGUUCGAGCGUCAUUUGUACCCUCAAGCUUUGCUUGGUGUUGGGCGUCUUGUCUCUAGCUUUGCUGGAGACUCGCCUUAAAGUAAUUGGCAGCCGGCCUACUGGUUUCGGAGCGCAGCACAAGUCGCACUCUCUAUCAGCAAAGGUCUAGCAUCCAUUAAGCCUUUUUUUCAACUUUUGACCUCGGAUCAGGUAGGGAUACCCGCUGAACUUAAGCAUAUCAAUAAGCGG